GGGAGUGGAAGAAGUUCUGGUGUCUUCCCCGGUCUUCAAAACCGUGUGAGGGGCUAGGUAGUCCCUGGUGGGUUCGAUUCCCAUCCACUCCCGCCA
rnacentral:tRNA from 1 species